UUCUUUUGUUUUGUUUUUUGCUUUCCCUUAUUUUUACCUGGACUAAUCCUUUAGGUUUGUAGUCCACCAGGAUGCCCUAAUUUUUGCCUAUGUCACUUUUUUUCAAGCUUUUGACUUAGCGAGCUUUUUGUUUUGAUUUUUAUUUAUUUUUUAUUUUGUAUUGACACAAAACGUGUGACAUUUGCUUGCUUAAUUUGUUGCAAGGGUCGUGACUAUCUCACUCCUUUUGUUGGUAAGGGAUAACCAUUGUGAAUUUUUGAUUG
rnacentral:lncRNA from 1 species